CUUAAAGAAUUAAACCUAAUAUAUAUAAAUCAGAUUUCCGACUUUGUCAACGAAAUCUCAACAUGGGAGUGAGACUUGUGAUUGCACUCACUAUGAUUUGCUUCUAUAUUGGGUUUGGGAAAGGCAAAGAUUGCGCUCUUUCAAUGAUUUGCACGGGCAACGAUGGAUUGGCUCGUCCAAUAUGGCGAAACAUGUCUGACGCUGCCCUUCCGUCGGUGGCCUGCGAAUCCCGGAUCCAAGCUUUGGAGGGUGAGUGUAGUUGGCCUGGUAUAAUUUAGGACCACAAGUACUUCCAAUGGGCGUGGAAUAAUGAUUUUUGCAUAUGUUAUUCCUGACCCCCACCGGACUAUGCCAUCCAAAAAUUACGUCACUACGACGUCACAAUCACGUCAUAGAGCUGGCCAAUGUAUAGUCACGAUCGCCCGAAAUGGCAUCUGCGCCGACGAUAACGAGCUCACUAACGCCAAAGAUCUCCUAUCAAGAUCGUUGCGAAGAGAAAACGAGAGAAUUAGCUUGCUCGAUUUCGGGUGAUCGUCUGCGCGUUUUGGACGACCAUACGUAUAUUUUGGAGGGCCCUAUCACGUCACUCUGAAGUCGAAAUGACGUAAUGGAUACCAGGA